rnacentral:rRNA from 1 species
UACGUAGGCAGCGAGCGUUGUUCGGAAUUACUGGGCGUAAAGAGUGUGUAGGCGGUGCUCUAAGUUCGGUGUGAAAUCUCCCGGCUCAACUGGGAGGGGUCAGUCGAUACUGGCGGGCUCGAGGCCGGUAGGGGGAAGCGGAAUUCCCGGUGUAGUGGUGGAAUGCGUAGAUAUCGGGAGGAACACCAGUGGCGAAGGCGGCUUCCUGGACCGGUUCUGACACUGAGGAGCGAAAGCGUGGGUAGCAAACAGG